ACAGCAUGACAGAAGUUGGUGGCAAAAGACUAAACAACAUACGUUAUAAAAAGUAGCAGUAGACUUGUAUUCCCGUAUUGAGUAGUAUCGAGACUCGAUUCUUGAUUAAAGUGUGGUGAGUGUAGUGCUUAACUUCCUGGGACUUCGCUGUCAGCAUUUAUGGAAUGACGGAAAGGUCUUAGAGCACAGUCUUGUCCUUUGUGGACAGGGCUGCUAAGGGAUCUCCUGGAAGUCAUUCCCAACUUUAGCCAUCGAUGGACCAAGAGCGUAAAAGCAAGAUGUAAACGUCAAUAUUUCGGCCCUGAAAAUCAAUCGAUGGGAGCCACCACCAUCUGGAAGAGUCGCUGUUGGAUAAACAGAUUCUAUCGAUCUUCAGUAGUUUUCGAAAAAAUCCUUUUAAACGCUGGACCGCCCCAGGUACGUUAUGAAUAAUAAAUUAAUAUCCAAGCCUCUCUCGAGCCGAAAUCGUUGUUUAUGGAGGUCGGCGAGAAAUAUUCGACGAAAGGGAUGCUUCUACAAGUGGUGCCUAAAUUGGUAAUAAAACUGCCAGGUCAACUGCAUAACACUUUAUGGUAUUUGGAGAAUAAAAUUCAAAUUUUUCACUGACAAGGCCAGUCCAACAAUCGA